GAUGAACGCUGACGGCGUGCCUAAUACAUGCCAGUCGAGCGAACGGACGAGAAGCUUGCUUCUCUGAUGUUAGCGGCGGACGGGUGAGUAACACGUGGAUAACCUACCUAUAAGACUGGGAUAACUUCGGGAAACCGGAGCUAAUACCGGAUAAUAUUUUGAACCGCAUGGUUCAAAAGUGAAAGACGGCCUUGCUGUCACUUAUAGAUGGAUCCGCGCUGCAUUAGCUAGUUGGUAAGGUAACGGCUUACCAAGGCAACGAUGCAUAGCCGACCUGAGAGGGUGAUCGGCCACACUGGAACUGAGACACGGUCCAGACUCCUACGGGAGGCAGCAGUAGGGAAUCUUCCGCAAUGGGCGAAAGCCUGACGGAGCAACGCCGCGUGAGUGAUGAAGGUCUUCGGAUCGUAAAACUCUGUUAUUAGGGAAGAACAUAUGUGUAAGUAACUGUGCACAUCUUGACGGUACCUAAUCAGAAAGCCACGGCUAACUACGUG
rnacentral:rRNA from 1 species